rnacentral:rRNA from 1 species
UACCAGCACCCCGAGUGGUCGGGACGUUUUAUUGGGCCUAAAGCAUCCGUAGCCGGUUCUACAAGUCUUCCGUUAAAUCCACCUGCUUAACAGAUGGGCUGCGGAAGAUACUAUGGAGCUAGGAGGCGGGAGAGGCAAGCGGUACUCGAUGGGUAGGGGUAAAAUCCGUUGAUCCAUUGAAGACCACCAGUGGCGAAGGCGGCUUGCCAGAACGCGCUCGACGGUGAGGGAUGAAAGCCUGGGGGGAGCAAACCGG